UUGGUAGCUUAUGACAUCAAUCAACCAAGACUGGAGUUGCAGGUUAGGCAGGCACGCAGCUUCUUCUUGCCCUACCUACCUCGUCAAAAUGAGAGGCUUCCAGAGCAGUUGACCCCCCCUAUUGGGGAAAAACUCAUGGUGGAUUAAUGCAGAGAUUAGUCAUUUGCAAAGCUACCCUACAUGGCUUCGUGAGCUGUUAAGCCAUUAAUAAUACCAAUAGCUCUUCUUGCUUUUCACGUUCUAAUUUCUGCAAGCCAGUUUCUGGGACCAGACGUAACGGCACGUAAAACUGUCCAAAUUCAAUGCUGGCUAAGAGUUUGUGUGGAGCAAAGUACUUAGCCAAGUUGGCUAGAGCAAUGUGCUCUCCACUCUGCACCCGAGUUCGAAUCUCCCUUCCCUCAUCGCUUGUUUAAAUAAAAAUAAUAAGAAGAAAGUCGCUUAAGCCUGAAAGUUUGUAUAAUUUUGA